rnacentral:lncRNA from 13 species
GUCUGUUCUCACAUUGCCAUAAAGACAAACCUGAGACUAGGUAAUUCAUAAAAGAAAAGAGGUUUAAUUAGCUCACAAUUCUGCAGGACACACAAACUUCUGCUUCUGAGGAGGCCUCAGGAAACUUACAAUCAUGACAGAAGGCAAAGGGGAAGCAGUCACAUCUUCACAUGGCCAGCAGGAGAGAAAGAGCAAAGGGGGAAGUGCUACACACUUUCAAACAACCAGAUCUUAGGAGAAUUCACUCACUGUCAUGAGAACAGCAAGGUCAAAGAAAACUCCACACACCGAAUUCCCUGCUGAAAGUGGCCAUUGUGGAGGAUUCAAGUACAUUUCAAAUCCUAAAGAGUUCUUCAGGACAGGAAAACAUCUCUGAUUGAGACACUUGAGAGAACUCCUUCACUUUGGAAAUUUGUGACAUCACAAAAAGAUUUACAGCUGUCCUCUUACAAAUGUGCCACGGUCGAUGCACCGGACUGCCGUGGUUCAGGGGUCCCCCACCCCUCGCACCGCAAGACAGACGCUGAGGGAUGCCAGCGUGGAAACGGCAUUUUCCCCUGGUAUCUGGAUGGCAGGUUUUCUUCGACAGGUUCACGGGUUCUCUUGGCGUCUCAUGGCUUGCUCAAGCCGCUUCGACCCUCAGUGGGGACCGUCUUGUGAUGAAGCUGCUCAACCUGUGAUUUCCCAGGUGCCGUCACUGCCUCACAGCUCACCUUCACCAGGCGUCCCGGGGAGCGGGGAGCGUGAGAAGUCAUUGAGAGAGAGUCCAUUCCAUUCAAAGGGCGUCCCAACAUCAUCACUUAACAGAGAGUGCCUUCCACCCCAGGGGAGGAUGGCGUAGGGCCGAGAGGAAUCACAGCUGAAUGGUCUGAGAUCCCGACCUGCAGAAAUAAGUUGGCACUUGUGGGAAGAGAUGACCAAGAGAGCUCAGAAGUUAUCCAGCGCUCAAGGCCGCUUCACCAAGGAGCAUCCACAGUGUUGUUUGUUCAUAGAACCACCAAACUGGGAAAUAAACCCUUCUGCGCUGUAUGUGGUGCCUCA